rfam:Rhodoplanes sp. Z2-YC6860, complete genome.
GCGGGGCUGCGGGGCGCGUUAGGGGUAAAUUCCCCGGGGCCUUACGAUCCUGACGGGAGCUGUCCCUGACCUGGUCCCUGGACUGGGAUAUAUGGCGCCCACCUACUUCUGUAGGUUCCCGGGAUCACAACUCCGACGGCCACUGCGGCUCCGCA